rnacentral:rRNA from 1 species
UUAAGCGACUAAGCGUACACGGUGGAUGCCCUGGCAGUCAGAGGCGAUGAAGGACGUGCUAAUCUGCGAAAAGCGCCGGCGAGGUGAUAUGAACCCUUGACCCGGCGAUGUCCGAAUGGGGAAACCCAGUGCAAUUCGUUGCACUAUCGUUAACUGAAUACAUAGGUUAACGAGGCGAACCGGGGGAACUGAAACAUCUAAGUACCCCGAGGAAAAGAAAUCAACCGAGAUUCCCCCAGUAGCGGCGAGCGAACGGGGAGCAGCCCAGAGUCUGAAUCAGCUUGUGUGUUAGUGGAAGCGUCUGGAAAGUCGCACGGUACAGGGUGAUAGUCCCGUACACGAAAAUGCACAGGCUGUGAACUCGAAGAGUAGGGCGGGACACGUGGUAUCCUGUCUGAAUAUGGGGGGACCAUCCUCCAAGGCUAAAUACUCCUGACUGACCGAUAGUGAACCAGUACCGUGAGGGAAAGGCGAAAAGAACCCCGGCGAGGGGAGUGAAAAAGAACCUGAAACCGUGUACGUACAAGCAGUGGGAGCACCUUCGGGUGUGACUGCGUACCUUUUGUAUAAUGGGUCAGCGACUUAUAUUCUGUAGCAAGGUUAACCGUAUAGGGGAGCCGAAGGGAAACCGAGUCUUAACUGGGCGUUAAGUUGCAGGGUAUAGACCCGAAACCCGGUGAUCUAGCCAUGGGCAGGUUGAAGGUUGGGUAACACUAACUGGAGGACCGAACCGACUAAUGUUGAAAAAUUAGCGGAUGACCUGUGGCUGGGGGUGAAAGGCCAAUCAAACCGGGAGAUAGCUGGUUCUCCCCGAAAGCUAUUUAGGUAGCGCCUCGUGAACUCAUCUUCGGGGGUAGAGCACUGUUUCGGCUAGGGGGCCAUCCCGGCUUACCAACCCGAUGCAAACUACGAAUACCGAAGAAUGUUAUCACGGGAGACACACGGCGGGUGCUAACGUCCGUCGUGAAGAGGGAAACAACCCAGACCGCCAGCUAAGGUCCCAAAGUCAUGGUUAAGUGGGAAACGAUGUGGGAAGGCCCAGACAGCCAGGAUGUUGGCUUAGAAGCAGCCAUCAUUUAAAGAAAGCGUAAUAGCUCACUGGUCGAGUCGGCCUGCGCGGAAGAUGUAACGGGGCUAAACCAUGCACCGAAGCUGCGGCAGCGACACUAUGUGUUGUUGGGUAGGGGAGCGUUCUGUAAGCCGUUGAAGGUGGUCUGUGAGGGCUGCUGGAGGUAUCAGAAGUGCGAAUGCUGACAUAAGUAACGAUAAAGCGGGUGAAAAGCCCGCUCGCCGGAAGACCAAGGGUUCCUGUCCAACGUUAAUCGGGGCAGGGUGAGUCGACCCCUAAGGCGAGGCCGAAAGGCGUAGUCGAUGGGAAACAGGUUAAUAUUCCUGUACUUGGUGUUACUGCGAAGGGGGGACGGAGAAGGCUAUGUUAGCCGGGCGACGGUUGUCCCGGUUUAAGCAUGUAGGCGGAGGUUCCAGGUAAAUCCGGUACCUUUUAACGCUGAGGUGUGAUGACGAGGCACUACGGUGCUGAAGUAACAAAUGCCCUGCUUCCAGGAAAAGCCUCUAAGCAUCAGGUAACAUCAAAUCGUACCCCAAACCGACACAGGUGGUCAGGUAGAGAAUACCAAGGCGCUUGAGAGAACUCGGGUGAAGGAACUAGGCAAAAUGGUGCCGUAACUUCGGGAGAAGGCACGCUGAUAUGUAGGUGAAGCCCCUGCGGGUGGAGCUGAAAUCAGUCGAAGAUACCAGCUGGCUGCAACUGUUUAUUAAAAACACAGCACUGUGCAAACACGAAAGUGGACGUAUACGGUGUGACGCCUGCCCGGUGCCGGAAGGUUAAUUGAUGGGGUUAGCGGCAACGCGAAGCUCUUGAUCGAAGCCCCGGUAAACGGCGGCCGUAACUAUAACGGUCCUAAGGUAGCGAAAUUCCUUGUCGGGUAAGUUCCGACCUGCACGAAUGGCGUAAUGAUGGCCAGGCUGUCUCCACCCGAGACUCAGUGAAAUUGAACUCGCUGUGAAGAUGCAGUGUACCCGCGGCAAGACGGAAAGACCCCGUGAACCUUUACUAUAGCUUGACACUGAACACUGGUCCUUGAUGUGUAGGAUAGGUGGGAGGCUUUGAAGCGUGGACGCCAGUCUGCGUGGAGCCAUCCUUGAAAUACCACCCUUUAAUGGCUGGUGUUCUAACGUAGACCCGUGAUCCGGGUUGCGGACAGUGUCUGGUGGGUAGUUUGACUGGGGCGGUCUCCUCCCAAAGAGUAACGGAGGAGCACGAAGGUUAGCUAAUCCUGGUCGGACAUCAGGAGGUUAGUGCAAUGGCAUAAGCUAGCUUGACUGCGAGAGUGACGGCUCGAGCAGGUGCGAAAGCAGGUCAUAGUGAUCCGGUGGUUCUGAAUGGAAGGGCCAUCGCUCAACGGAUAAAAGGUACUCCGGGGAUAACAGGCUGAUACCGCCCAAGAGUUCAUAUCGACGGCGGUGUUUGGCACCUCGAUGUCGGCUCAUCACAUCCUGGGGCUGAAGUAGGUCCCAAGGGUAUGGCUGUUCGCCAUUUAAAGUGGUACGCGAGCUGGGUUUAGAACGUCGUGAGACAGUUCGGUCCCUAUCUGCCGUGGGCGCUGGAGAAUUGAGGGGGGCUGCUCCUAGUACGAGAGGACCGGAGUGGACGCAUCACUGGUGUUCGGGUUGUCAUGCCAAUGGCACUGCCCGGUAGCUAAAUGCGGAAGAGAUAAGUGCUGAAAGCAUCUAAGCACGAAACUUGCCCCGAGAUGAGUUCUCCCUGAGACUUAAAGUCUCCUGAAGGAACGUUGAAGACGACGACGUUGAUAGGUCGGGUGUGUAAGCGCAGCGAUGCGUUGAGCUAACCGAUACUAAUGAACCGUGAGGCUUAACCUU